rnacentral:rRNA from 1 species
CCUCUUGUUCGGGAUAACUGCUGGAAACGGCAGCUAAUACCGGAUAAGCUCCCCCAAUUGUAUGGGGAGGAAAGGAGGCCUCUUCAUGAAAGCUUCCGCGAGGGGAUGAGUCCGCGUCCCAUUAGCUAGUUGGUGAGGUAACGGCCCACCAAGGCAACGAUGGGUAGCCGGUCUAAGAGGAUGACCGGCCACACUGGAACUGAAACACGGUCCAGACUCCUACGGGAGGCAGCAGUGGGGAAUAUUGCGCAAUGGACGAAAGUCUGACGCAGCGACGCCGCGUGAGGGAUGAAGGUUUUCGGAUCGUAAACCUCUGUCAGGAGGGAAGAAAGCGCAUGGCGCCAAUCAGCCAUGCGUUGACGGUACCUCCAAAGGAAGCGCCGGCUAACUCCGUGCCAGCAGCCGCGGUAAUACGGAGGGCGCGAGCGUUAAUCGGAAUUACUGGGCGUAAAGCGCGCGUAGGCUGUUGUGUAAGUUGGGGGUGAAAUCCCACGGCUCAACCGUGGAACAGCCCUUGAUACUGCGCGACUUGAAUCCGGGAGAGGGUGGCGGAAUUCCAGGUGUAGGAGUGAAAUCCGUAGAUAUCUGGAGGAACAUCAGUGGCGAAGGCGGCCACCUGGACCGGUAUUGACGCUGAGGCGCGAAAGCGUGGGGAGCAAACAGGAUUAGAUACCCUGGUAGUCCACGCUGUAACCGAUGGAUGCUGGAUGUCGGGGAGUAAUCCCCGGUG